rnacentral:rRNA from 1 species
CCUACGGGUGGCACCAGUGGGGAAUAUUGCACAAUGGGCGCAAGCCUGAUGCAGCCAUGCCGCGUGUGUGAAGAAGGCUUUCGGGUUGUAAAGCACUUUCAGCGGGGAGGAAGGCGUUAAGGUUAAUAACCUCAUCGAUUGACGUUACCCGCAGAAGAAGCACCGGCUAACUCCGUGCCAGCAGCCGCGGUAAUACGGAGGGUGCAAGCGUUAAUCGGAAUUACUGGGCGUAAAGCGCACGCAGGCGGUCUGUCAAGUCGGAUGUGAAAUCCCCGGGCUCAACAUGGGAACUGCAUUCGAAACUGGCAGGCUAGAGUCUUGUAGAGGGGGGUAGAAUCCCAGGUGUAGCGGUGAAAUGCGUAGAGAUCUGGAGGAAUACCGGUGGCGAAGGCGGCCCCCUGGACAAAGACUGACGCUCAGGUGCGAAAGCGUGGGGAGCAAACAGGAUUAGAUACCCGGGUAGUC